UACGAAGGGGGCUAGCGUUGUUCGGAAUUACUGGGCGUAAAGCGCACGUAGGCGGAUAUUUAAGUCAGGGGUGAAAUCCCGGGGCUCAACCCCGGAACUGCCUUUGAUACUGGGUAUCUCGAGUCCGAGAGAGGUGAGUGGAAUUCCGAGUGUAGAGGUGAAAUUCGUAGAUAUUCGCAAGAACACCAGUGGCGAAGGCGCUCACUGGCCCGAUACUGACGCUGAGGCACGAAAGCGUGGGGAGCAAACAGG
rnacentral:rRNA from 1 species